GACUGCCCCUUGUCCACCACCCGCUGAGCUGAAACCAGUGGCUUCACACAGCCAGACACCCACCUAGGGCCACAUGGAAAGCGUGUGACAGUCCUUCCAUGUCUGCCCACCCAGAGCAACUGGCAGGACGUGGGUUUUCUCCCACUCCCCUUUAGUCCCCCACGUUCCCUGCCCUGCAUUCCUGGAUAGCCAGGUCUACACAGAGAAAAAAAGACUAGCUGUCAGUUCCUGUGAGUUUCUUCCUGCUGUGAACAUCAGGGCUCUGGGCUCUGUCUCCUGGUCACCUCCCUCGCACCAUGGCCCUGAAGCAGCAAUCUGCGAUCCUGCCUCAGCCCAAGAAACCCAGACCAGCUGCUGCCCCGAAGCUGGAGGACAAGUCGGCCUCUCCCGGCCUGCCGAAGGGAGAAAAAGAACAGCAAGAAGCAAUUGAACAUAUUGAUGAAGAACAAAAUGAAACAGACAGACUUAAUGAACAAGACAGUGAGGAAAAUUUGAAAGUAGAACAAAAAUAUAACAAACUCUGCCAACCAUUUUUUCAGAAGAGGUCAGAAUUGAUCGCCAAAAUCCCAAAUUUUGGGGUAACAACAUUUGUCAAGUAUCCACAAGUGUCUGCACUGCUUGGGGAGGAGGACGAGGAGGCGCUGCAUUAUUUGACCAGAGUUGAAGUGACAGAAUUUGAAGACAUUAAAUCAGGUUACAGAAUAGAUUUUUAUUUUGAUGAAAAUCCUUACUUUGAAAAUAAAGUUCUCUCCAAAGAAUUUCAUCUGAAUGAGAGUGGUGACCCGUCUUCAAAGUCCACUGAAAUCAAAUGGAAAUCUGGAAAGGAUUUGACAAAACGCUCAAGUCAAACGCAGAGUAAGGCCAGCAGGAAGAGGCAGCACGAAGAGCCUGAGAGCUUCUUUACCUGGUUUACUGACCAUCCUAACGUAGGUGCUGACGAGUUAGGAGAGGUCAUCAAAGAUUACAUUUGGCCAAAUCCCUUGCAGUACUAUCUGGUUCCCGACAUGGAUGAUGAAGAAGGAGAGGCAGAAGAUGAUGAUGACGACGAGGAUGAGGAGGAGGGGUUGGAAGAUAUUGAUGAAGAAGGAGAUGAGGAUGAAGGUGAAGAAGAUGAUGAUGAGAUGAAGGGGAGGAAGGAGAGGAGGACGAAGGUGAGGAUGAUUAGCACAGAAGACUGACAGAUUCCAACCUUCUUUUUUUAUUUUCUUUUUAUUUUUUAAUUUUCUCCAGUCCCUGGGAGCAAGUUGCAGUCCUUUCCUCCCUGUCCCUCUGUGCUCAGUCACCCUGUUUUGAGGUCUCAACAUCAUGGUUCUCAAUUAAUUUGGGGGGAAAUAUCUUGAGCAAAAUACAACAGGAAAAGAAUCUCCGUUUCUGUUCUAAAUUCAUUUUUUAUCCUUUCUUGUCUAAAUUUGUGGAUUCCACACCACCAUGCUCUGUGGGAAAAAAGAAAAGCCCUCCAGUUCCCUUGGCUCUGCUGGAGGGCGCUAGGCCCCUGUGUAGUAGUUUAUAGAAUUUUAGCUUUUCUUCUUUUCUCUGUAUAUUGGGCUCAGAGAUUACACUGCGUCUCUAUGUGAAUACAGACAGUUAGCAUUUACCAACAUGUAUCUGUCUACUUUCUUUUGUUUAAUAAAAAGAAAAAAAA